rnacentral:rRNA from 1 species
GUGCAGCAGUCGAGAAUAGUCUACAAUGGACGAAAGUCUGAUAGUGCGACGCCGUGUGUGCGAUUAAUUCCUUCGGGAUGUAAAGCACUUUUCUAUGAGAUAAAAGCUCUUUAGGUUAAUAGCUUAUUGAGACGGAUAUUAUUAUAGGAAUAAGCUCCGGCUAACUCCGUGCCAGCAGCCGCGGUAAUACGGAAGGAGCGAGCGUUGUCCGGAUUUACUAGGCGUAAAGGGCUAGUAGGCGACUAAUUAAGUUAUAUGUUAAAUCCCACGGCUCAACUGUGGUCCUGCAUGUAAUACUGGUUAGAUAGAGUACUGUAGAGGAAGGCAGAAUUCCUGGAGUAGCGGUGGAAUGCGCAGAUAUCAGGAAGAAUACCAAAAGCGAAGGCAGCUCUGGCAGUACUGACGCUGAAUAGCGAAGGUGUGGGUAGCGAACAGGA